GCUUUUGUACUGACUAUUUUAUUAUUUUUUUAAUUAUUCUGUAGUCGGAGUCAAUAAAAUGAUCCACACACACAUUGGCACAAGAGAAAAGAAACACAAUGAUGGUGAUAAUAUCUACGAAAAUAUUGAUAUCGGGGCCACAGUCGGAGUCAAUAAUAUGAUCCACUCACACACUGGCACAAGAGAAAAGAAACACAAUGAUGGUGAUAAUAUCUACGAAAUAUUCCUAUUAGGACCACAGUCGGAGUCAAUACUAUGAUCCAUUCACACGUAAUUACUGGAAAAAAAGAAA